UGUUAGCUGGGGCUUGUCAUAUAUGGCCUUUAUUAUGUUGAGGGACGAACUGUAAAAGCAACAUCAGCUUGACCAGUAUAUAACAUUACAGUGGAUUGCUCAUCUCAGUCCUCAGAGCUUUUUGAAAACCAACAGCAUCACAGCUUGUUUUGGACUUUGUUACACUAUUAUUUUCAGCAUGAAAAUGUGUGGUUUUGUAGGGUUUCUAAAUCUUCAAAGAGCCAAGAAACCAAACUGAUAGAGAAAUGAUGCGAAGGCUAAAUUUGUAUAUUAUUACUUUAACAUGCCCAUAUCUUACUUUAAAAUAUUAAAAGGGGUUCUUCAAAAUGGGAACCUUAGGUUAGUAACUGAUUUUGAAUAACUUUUGUUAAACACUUGUUCCAAUAUUAAUAUGUCAGAUUGCUUUUGUGUGUCAGAUAACACCGCCAUUCACAAGUUAUGACUAGGAUUUUGGGUGUCUGUUAGAUGCUACUAAGAAAAUAGAGAUGAGCUUCCUUGUAAAAGCUUUUGAUGUGGUGUCAUAGAAUAGCAUGUUGUAGAUACAAUCAGCUGCUUUGUUACCCAAGCAUUUGUAAAUAUUAAAACUUAAGAUGUCCCUUAAAACACUCAGCUGUUCAGAUUGGACAUAACUGAUAGAGUUCUUCCUUUCUCUCUUUAAAAAUUAUAGAAGACUAGUAGCUGAGUAUUGUUUUUUCUGUUUUGAAUUUGCUGCUGAUAAUGUACAUGAAUUUAAUGUGCUGUGUAAGCUGUGUCCUAGUUAUUGAACAGUUUAUGCAGUGCUGCUUUGCCAAAUAAAAGUUAAAAGUAAAAGAGG